CAGCCGCCGCGGUAAUACGAAGGGGGCUAGCGUUGUUCGGAAUUACUGGGCGAAAAGCGCACGUAGGCGGAUUUUUAAGUCAGGGGUGAAAUCCCGAGGCUCAACCUCGGAACUGCCUUUGAUACUGGAGAUCUUGAGUUCGGAAGAGGUUGGUGGAACAGCUAGUGUAGAGGUGAAAUUCGUAGAUAUUAGCUAGAACACCAGUGGCGAAGGCGGCCAACUGGUCCGAUACUGACGCUGAGGUGCGAAAGCGUGGGGAGCAAACAGGAUUAGAUACCCCCGUAGUCCCUGUCUCUUAUAC
rnacentral:rRNA from 1 species